rnacentral:rRNA from 1 species
CCUACGGGCGGCAGCAGUGAGGAAUAUUGGUCAAUGGACGAGAGUCUGAACCAGCCAAGUAGCGUGAAGGAUGACUGCCCUAUGGGUUGUAAACUUCUUUUAUAUGGGAAUAAAACGUUCCACGUGUGGGAUUUUGUAUGUACCAUAUGAAUAAGGAUCGGCUAACUCCGUGCCAGCAGCCGCGGUAAUACGGAGGAUCCGAGCGUUAUCCGGAUUUAUUGGGUUUAAAGGGAGCGUAGGUGGAUUGUUAAGUCAGUUGUGAAAGUUUGCGGCUCAACCGUAAAAUUGCAGUUGAAACUGGCAGUCUUGAGUACAGUAGAGGUGGGCGGAAUGCGUGGUGUAGCGGUGAAAUGCUUAGAUAUCACGAAGAACUCCGAUUGCGAAGGCAGCUCACUGGACUGCAACUGACGCUGAGGAGCGAAAGCGUGGGUAGCAAACAGGAUUAGAUACCCUUGUAGUC